UUGCUCCCCUCUCCAUAAUAUGAAUCGAUAAAAUGAUAAAACGAAACUAUUGAGACCCGUACCUCCGUUCUUCACCUACACUCCUCUCUUUUCGUCGAAAACGAAAUCAAUGUAUUGAUCAAUUACGAUUAAGCUGUCGAUCUUCAAGCGAUUGCUAAUGAAAUAAUGGUGUCGAAGGAGUGAUGGCAUGAUGUUUCCCAUUCUGCGAUUAAUUUCUGUCGACUCACUUUUUAAAAUGAAUUAUGUCAGCUCGAUUACACACCACCUAAAAAACUUCUUGAAAAUAAUAUAACAGACGAUUAGGAAUUGAAGUGCCCUACUUAUUGGAUGGUUCAUCCUUCAGCCUUUUAUGAAUCGCAUCAUUUACUCUGUUUGAGCCAACAGAAAUAUCGAAAAACCGAGAAAACCGAAUACACCAAGAAGACAGUCUGAAAGAUCUUGAAACUUCGCCAGCGGUGCACGAAUGAUUUAAAUAAUGCGGGAAAAAAUAUACUACGAUUAAUUCUACUCAUCACUCCAUUGUCAUUGACCAUUAAUUUCGAGGAUAUAAAUAAUUACCUUAUUAUCUCUACAUGUCGGUUCACAAUACAUUUAAUGCAAGCACAAUUGUAUCGCUCAGCAGGAAUGUUAUGUACGACAUGUCCUUUGCUCUGUUCAAUAGUAUUGCGAAGGAUUUUUAAUUGUGCGCAAAAGUGGGCAGUAACAAUGACAAAGUAUAUUUCCAAAGACAGGUAAAUGACAGUGCCAUAUACAAUGGUGAUCCCCUGAAGAAUCACGAUUACUCCAGAUAUCGGAGAUAUGGUGAAGGGAUGCCAAACGUCGGCGUAAAAUAUCACUUGAACUCCGAAGAAAUGUGAUACCAGCCAGGGAGUAUUCAGGGAAACUGAAAAAAUUGCGAUGAGAAAUGUAUAAAGAGAAAAAAGUGAUUUGCAGAGACGAUGAGGAUCAAAUUAAUAAUUGAAGAAUUGCUGGGUAAUAUUGACCAGUUAGUAAUUGAAAAAUUUUAAUCAAUUUGGAAUUAUUCAGAUCCGAUGUCUGAAUAUUUUUCUUGUGCACAUGGGAUUUUAAAUUCUUGAUCCCAGGGACCCUUAGGAAGAUUUGACGAUAGUUCUGAUUUUGAAAAUUUAGUUGAGAUGUCAAUUUUCAGACUCUCAUGCAUGAACUUACGGAUUAGACCGAAACCCCACACAAUACCGAACACUUUUGAAAUAUUCGUUGAUUGUUUGACACACAUCCCCAUAAAUUUCUUCCUUUCGUUCGUCAAAUAUUGCACACGAUCCCAGUCGUCUUCCAUGAAACCGAAUAUUUGUUCAAUCUCUCGCUGAAAAAUUUUUAAUAUGAAAAGUUUAAUAGCGACAAGAUCGAAGAAAAUAGUAUUGAUGAAUUUAUAAGCCCCAUGAUCACUCCAUCCUGUGGUAUACGAUUUUGUCGUCACAACCACCGUGAAAAUUAAACAAGUAAAACCGAUGCAAUUAAUGAUCAGUUUUCCGCGAUAUUCUAAGGGCCAUAUCCCCACAAUUUUCAUGGCUGCCUCCAGGUAUUUCACUUCCUGAGCAAAAAAUAUCCCUGAAUUCUUUUUUACAUUUCCGUAAAAGUGACGAUUUACACCAUAAGAAUUCAUUUUUAAUUUCGAAAGGAAAAAUACAUUCAGUGCUUCUCAAAAAUUAAAUUCGCAAUUAUUUUGCUGAACAGAUCUACACUAGAGUUCUCCAAGGAUAAUAUUCUACGGAGGCAAUGAGUGACUGCCACACGAUAUAAAUUGUCAGGUGAUAUUUCAAGGGAAGAAAAUCUCAGGGCAAAACGUGUCUUCGUCAGGUACUUUUGUUUGUCCUUUACUUAACAUUAUCCAAUAAUAGUAAUAGGGACAAAUUACAUCGUCAAUAAUGCAAAAAUUGAAAUCAAACGGUGCCAAUUUUUUUGUCCCCUCUAUUUACCAACUCAUGUUUGUCUUGCGUUCCAAGGGAGAAGCUACUGUAUUCACUGCGAAAAUCCAUAUAUCCUCGUCAACCCUCAUUUCAAGAUACCCCAAUCUUUCUGACCCCAACUCUACUUUCUUAUGUCCCUCGUUACGUCACAUGCAUUGAUGAGAGGCUACACUAAUUUUUGACGAUUUUUCGUCGCGUGUGACAU